CUCGAGCGUCAGCGAGAGAGCGUUGCCGCAGGCAACGACCCGAAGGGCGAAGCGCGCAGCGCUGAGUAAUCCUUCCCCCACCACCA
rnacentral:sRNA from 1 species